ACUUAAGCCUCUCUCGUCUCUUCUCUUACCCUGGGGUUUAGGGUUUUUCAGUUUUCAUAGUCUCUGAUUGAGGAGAAGGAGAAAGAGAAGAGAGGAGUUUGCAGCCGCUGCACCAGAAAACCAGAGGAUAUGUCUGAUAGCGAAGGAUAUGACUCGGAUGAUUAUCCAUCAAUCAGAGGCUCAGACUCAGAAGAUGAAGAGAGUGGUUCCUCUGGAAAUGAGGACGUUCUCAACACAAGCAACAAUGAUCAUGGUAAUGAUGACGAAAGUGAUAGUUCUGAACUUCAUGAAGGAGUUGAGGAGAGUGAUUCAUCUGAAGAUGAGGUGGUUCCUCGAAAUACAGUUGGUGAUGUCCCCUUGGAGUGGUAUCGGGAUGAGAAACAUAUUGGUUAUGACAUUACAGGGAAGAAGAUAAAGAAGAAGGAAAAAGAAGAUAAAUUGCAAUCCUUUCUUGCUAGUGCUGACCAUUCAGAGAACUGGCGCAAAAUUUAUGAUGAUUAAAAUGAUGAGGAUGUAGAACUGACGAAAGAAGAUAUCAAAUCUAUAAGUAGAUUGCUCGAAGGAAAGGCUCCCCAUGGUGACUUUGAUCCUUAUGCGCCAUAUGUUGAUUGGUUUAAAUGGGAUGGCUCCAAGCAUCCACUGUCAAAUGCACCUGAUCCCAAGAGACGAUUAAUUCCUUCAAAAUCUGAAAGUAAACUGGUUAAUAAGAUCAAGUUGGCCAUUCGCAAGGGUUUGAUUAAGCCUAAAAAGUCCAAAGAGGUGGAGGAAGAAGAAGAAAGUGUUUAUCCCUUGUGGGGAGAUGACUCUAAUUCAACAGAAAAGAAUGACCAUCUAUCUUACAUUCCUGCACCAAAGCCAAAAUUGCCUGGCCAUGAGGAGUCCUUCAAUCCUUCUAUAGAAUACAUCCCAACACAAGAAGAGAUCAAUUCUUAUCAGUUAACGUAUGAGGAAGACCGUCCUAAAUUUAUAUCUAAAAGGUUUACAUCUAUGAGAAGCAUCCCUGCAUAUGAGAAUGCUGUUAAGGAAUGCUUUGAAAGAUGUUUGGAUCUAUUUGUGCCCCCGAGUCCGAAAAAAACGCCUUAAUAUCGAUCCUGAGUCUCUGAAGCCCAAGCUACCAAACCGAAAUGAUCUUAAGCCUUACCCUGUUUCAUGUUAUCUUGAGUAUAGACGUCACGAAGAUGCAGUUACGUCAGUUUCUGUAGAAGUUUCAGGGCAGUGGAUUGCAUCAGGUUUAUUGGACGGAACUGUGCGUAUUUGGGAGGUUGAAACUGGUAGAUGUCUAAAACACUAUAAGAUUGGUGAAGCGAUCAAAUAUGUAGCGUGGAAUCCUAAUCCCGAGCAUUCUAUACUGGCUGUCUCUGUGGGCCAAGACGUACUUCUUUUGAACACUGGUUGUGGAAAUGAAGAAGUACAGAAAAGGACUAAAGAACUUCUCUCUGUUGAGAUGCCUGUGAUGACUCUGGUCACAUCCAGUGUAAGCUGGCUUCAAGAUGAUAAACUUGAGGGAAUCAGAAUCUUAACUGCUUUCUUUGUUGGGCUCCUGCAGACUGUGGCUUCAGUAGAAUGACAUCGUAAAGUAUCCUUCGACAGUGGUGCCAGCUGGUGAAUCAAGAGCUAUUUUUAUACACAAGCUCUCUAAGAAGUUUACCCAGACACUUUCAUUCAAGUUGCGAGGGAUUGCAGUUACUUCAGUUUUCCAUCCUACACUUUCCUUCUUCUUCAUUUCAACAAAGAAGAUAACUCGUGUUUAUGAUCUGGUGAAAGAGGGAAAGCUUGUCAGAAAACUUGAGAUCAGACUACGCGAAGUCUCCUUUAUUGCAGUUCAUCCUUCUGGUGAUCAUAUAAUUGUGGGGAGCAGAGAAGGAAAACUAUGUUGGUUCGACAUGGACCUUUCAUCUAAACCCUACAAAACUCUCAAGUUGCAUCAGAAGGACAUCAACAAUGUGUCUUUCCAUCGCUCGUACCCCCUGUUUGCAACAUGCUCAGAUGAUUGCACCGCAUAUGUUUUCCAUGGGAUGGUUUAUUCAGAUCUUAACCAGAACCCUCUUAUUGUUCCAUUGGAAAUACUCCGCGGUCAUUCGAGCACGAAUGGGAGAGGUGUAAUGGACUGUAAAUUCCAUCCAAGGCAGCCAUGGUUGUUCACGGCGGGGGCAGACUCAGUGGUUAGACUGUAUUGCCAUUGAGAGGAAAAGAAAGCAAACCGCCUUUACCGGAUCAUACUGCAAGCUAUGGAUAUCACUAGUCAGGCCUGAAUUUUCUGUGCUCGAAUUUGUUGUAUGUAUCAUGUGUUUACUGAAUGGUCCGGUCAUAAUUUUGACAGUAUACAACUAUUUCAUUUCUGUUAACCUCGCUAUUUAAUUCAUAUUCCAUUCGUAUUUUAUUGAGCAGAACGUGUUUUGGAGCCUAUGAUUAUUUUUCUAGCAGUAAAGUGUAAUGGUGGUUUGUUUUGGGUCA